AUUGAACGCUGGCGGCAGGCCUAACACAUGCAAGUCGAGCGAGCGGCGGACGGGUGAGUAAUGUCUGGGAAACUGCCUGUUGGAUACGCAUAACUACUGGACACGGUAUCUAAUACCGCAUUCCAUCAGCUGUGCCCAGGUGGGAUUAGCUGGUCGGUGGGGUAACGGCUCACCUAGGCGACGAUCCCUAGAUGGUCUGAGAGGAGGACCAGCCACACUGGAACUGAGACACGGUCCAGACUCCUACGGGAGGCAGCAGUGGGGAAUAUUGGACAAUGGGCGCAAGCCUGAUGCAGCCAUGCCGCGUGUGUGAAGAAGGUCUUCGGGUUGUAAAGCACUUUCAGCGGGGAGGCGUUACCCGCAGAAGAAGCACCGGCUAACUCCGUGCCAGCAGCCGCGGUAAUAC
rnacentral:rRNA from 1 species